UUUUCAUCUGACAGGAGACGUAAUGGUCCUCGUGAUGAAAGCAGUGACCUAAGAUUUUGGAGAUCUGUUGGAUACUUGAUUUUACCACACACUCCUUGAAUAAACCAGAAAAGUCCUUCUGUGAUUAAGCAAGUCACCCGCAGAGCAGGGAUGGCAAGGACAAUGUUCUUCUGUCUUCAGACAGGUAUUGUAGAGAUACUUCCAAAAUGUAGCUGAGGGCAAAAAGUAGGAAUGGGAUGGUGGCACACACAUAGCGUGGUCACGGGAACUGGUGUGCUAGAUGUCAUUAUUGUGUUUACAGCACUGUAUGGAGUCAUCUUCACGGAGCUGCUGAAAAACAGAUACUUCAUAGGACAGCUGAAGUGUGAGGUGCUGCUGGUAGUCCUGGUUUGUAGGAGAAGAGACGUGCUAGUCCCUGGCUGCGUCAGGAGGAGGAAAUAAUGUCUAGUGGGGUUAGAAGGAAAAGCUGUAAUGGUGUAACUGCAGUUACUGCUCUUUCUGUCUGUUGCAGGAUAGCCCCACUGUGAGGGUAGUUGGCACAAAUGGAGACGUGGUAGUGAUUUUGUGCCAAGUUUCGGUAUGGUGCUGGUCAAACUUUAUUGCAAAAAUCCCUGUGUUACAAGUUUCAAAAAGAUUAGCAAAGGCUCCAAUCUCUGGUGAAGAGGAAUCUGAAGAAACUCUUCUUUCACAUAAGAGACUUUAUUUGAAAACCAUAGGAAGUGGAUGCAUCAGAAGAUGUUUUGAGAUAAAGGUGACAUUGUUGAUUUUAAGUAUUUCACUAAGCAAGAGCUUCCUUGACCACACAAAAUGACAGAGAAGGUGACUUGCACAACAUAAUGACUGUUUUAGUCCCUCGGCCCCUCCAGAUUUUGGUAAUGGAUCUCAGAGAAAUACUUGAAUCACUCCCCAGAAAAGGAAGCCUCAAUUUUACAGGUCGAGUGGUUUUGUCUUCAGCAAGACUCAUCCAAGGCAUGAGCUCGGAACUGGGGACGCGGCCUCCUAAUGGAGGCGCCGCUACCUCACGCCUGUCACGGUGGGGAGCUUCAGCCGAAUGCUUUAAAAUUUAAUCUUUUUGUGCCUCCUGUUGGAGAGGAGCAGUGCCCUUAGGAAAGAGGUAACUUUAAACAUAAAGUGCUUGUGUCUAAGCUACUGCCUCUGGGGCCCAAAAA
rnacentral:lncRNA from 1 species